GAAGAGGGGCGGGAUUCGCUGCCACCCUGCGCCCCUGGACCGCGUCUGGUCCUAGACUUCCCCCUCUUCAAACUUCCGCGCUUCUAAAGCGACUGGCGAGGGCGAUGAAACCAUUUACUGCUUGCCGGUAGUAGAUACAUAGGAAGUGAGUACUCCACGGGAGCCCAGGGUUCGGGGCACGCAGUCCACAAAGAGAGCAGAUGUCUGCAUAGGUGAGAUGCUGCCAGAAUACUAGGAUUCAGCCAGGAUUAUAGAUGUACCACUGUGCACGGACCCCUAAUUGCACUGUUGCUUUCACCGGCGCGCCCCCAACACAUAGAUUCAGACGUGUCGUAGACGUGGCUUUAUUACGCAAACAGAUGGGUGUCAGGAGCAGGGACCUGAAGGGAGGCAGGAGGACAGGGAGGGCGUAGGCGUCGGUACCAGGCUGAAGAGCGCCCGGCGGCCAGUGGACGGUGAGGGCGGUGGACCCGCCUGCAGCGAACUGAGUGCUGCCUGACGAUGCUCUCGGGACACGUCUCCGCGCAGGUCCAAGAGGGCAGAGACGUGAUCCUCGCUGCAGGAAUACCACCACGUGCGUCAGCCCAGCCCUCCCUCGUCCUCCUGGGCCGUUCCUCCCCUGUCCCCUUCCUCGCACCUCACGUCGGGAAAUUGCUGCCUCAAGCCUGCCACCUCGAGGCCAAGCAGUGUGGGGUCGUGGAGGUUGAGCAGUUCCCUCAGCGCGAGCAGGACGGGCGCGCAGUGAGCGCUCUCUUCCAGGCCCUGAACACAUGGGAACAGGGUUUCCAGCGGGCCCUCGGCUCCCACCCAACUACAGAGAUCCUCGACUGUCUGCCCUCCCAAUGAGCUCUCACCAAACCAAGGAAAAGCUCUUUGAGCUGGGCAGCAUCCUGCCGAAGUCGCUCAGCCGCCUGGCUCCGCUCGUCCGUACCGCGGCACACUAGGCGGCCCUGCAUCAGAGCCCUUAGACUGGGAUGGCGACCUCACCUGGAGCUCAACCUGCAGUACUUCCAAAACCAGGCGGCAGAUCCUCCUUUGUACGUCGUCCAGCGCAGCUUCCACUGGAGCUAAGACCCCGGAAGCUUCCCCGUCCGGCAGCAGGACCGAGACCGAAGAUCUGGACCAAAAAGUGUGACUUCAGGACCAAGGCCAAGGCUCGCAUGGCCCUCUAGGAUUCAUCCACUCUGGCGCCACCUUGUGGUACAGUGUCUGGUGGGAGCUGGGGCGGAAAGGGCGGCUCUGAAUUUAUGAAGGGCUCAGGUAUUCUGUAAGGCUAGGAAGAGUAUGCCCAGCGGACUUGCCUCUAAUGUAACCUCAAGUUAAGUUAUUCUUCCUUUUAUUUUGUUUUAGAGGGGAGCUCUUAAAAGAGUAAAAAUUCCCCGCAUGUAUGUCUGUCCUCUCUGCACACCACCAAGAGCAUAACACUCAAGAUAAGCCAGGCCUGGUGGAGGCUGACGAAAGAACGACUGCUCUUCCGAAGGUCCUGAGUUCAAAUCUCAGCAACCACAUGGUGGCUCACAACUACCAGUAAUGAGAUCUGAUGCCUUCUUCUGGCUUGUCUGAAGGCAGCUACAGUGUACUUAUGUAUAAUCAUAAAUCUUUGGGCCUGAGCCAGGCGUGGUGGUGCACGUCUUUAAUCCCAGCUUGGAGGAAGGCAGAGGCAGGCGGAUUUCUGAGUUCGAGGCCAGCCUGGUCUACAGAGUGAGUUCCAGGACAGCCAAGGCUACCCAGAGAAACCCUGUCUGGAAAAAAGAAAAAAAAAAAAUCUUUGGGCCUGAACAAGCGGAGUUGACUGGAGUGAGGGGGUGCUGACCAGGAAGCAGAGGUCCUAAAAAUUCAAUUCCCAACAACCACAUGAAGGCUCACGACCAUCUGGUUCAGCUACAGUGUACCAUAUACAUAAAUCUUUAAAAAAAUAUAUUUGCAGCCGGGCUUUGAGGCCAGCCUGGUCUACAGAUUGAGUUCCAGGACAGCCAGGGCUACACAGAGAAGCCUUGUCUCGAAAAAAAAAAGGGGGGGCUGGAGAGAUGGCUCAGUGGUUAAGAGCACUGACUGCCCUUCCAGAGGUCCACAUGGUGGCUCACAGCCAUCUGUAAUGGGAUCUGAUGCCCUCUUCUGGUGGGUUGAAGACAGGUACAGUGUAUUCAUAUAAAUAAAUCUUUUAAAAAAUUUAUUUCCUGAAUGUAGUAGAUUUAACAUCUUUAUCUAAUAUGAUUCUCUGACGAUUUUAUUAUUAUCCAAAUAAUACUAGUAAGAAAAGUGACAGGUACCUUGUAAUACAACUGAUAAUUAGCAGAGCGAGGAUUAGAACCCCAUCUUUGUGAGCCCAAAGUGGUUCUGGUGUGGGUGGCAUCCAGACUUUAAAGGAACUCAGAAGUGUGUUAGGAAAAGUGUGGUACCUCAGUGCUGAUUGGUGGUUGAAGGCAGACAGUAGGUAGGGCACAUAGUGAGGGGCCACGGCGUCUCCCCUGAGAUGGUCUCGAGAGAAUCGGAUCAGAGCGUCGCUGAAGCUGCAGUAGGCAGAGGAGCCUCUUGGGUUUGCUGCUAAUGUGGCACCCCCACAGCUGCACCCCCAGAACUCUUGUCCCACUUUCAAGUAUUUGUUUAAGGGUAACACACACACACUAGUGUGUCCUGUCCAGUUUACUCAGAGCCCUUGGGCUGUCUGGGAGCAGGGCUGGAGAUUGUGGAUGGGCCCCCCUGCUUGGCAAACCUUCUCAAGAAUGCGCCCAGCUCUGACACUGCCAUGUUAUGCGCCCGCCGAUGCAAUGAGUCACUAAUCAGGUUGGUCACUUGAAUGUUUUCAGCCAGGAUCUACAAGCAGGGAGGAGCGGCCUUCAGACAUUUCCUAGACCCGCUGCCCUUCUCCCCUUUCCAUAUGCGAGCUGCCUACUUCCUUGGGUUCUUCCCACCUACCUGCAGGACAAUGGCUGGCAUUGGGGAGUGGUAGAAACCGGAUGGAUCUGUGGGGGGCUCCUGUUCCCCGCUCCACUCUGCUACCUCUCCAUCCAGUGCCUUCUUCAGCCACUGAGCCACACUUACCUGGCAAGAAAGAGUAAGGAGCAGCGAGCUAUAUCAGGGUAUUGACAUGACGUUCAACUAGACAACCGGACAGUCACUAGUCACCUGAACCUGAGCCACAAAGGCUGCCUCCAGCUGCUCAAUGUUCUCUGAGGUCAAGAGGGGCUCUAGCUGGGACACAUCAGCCUCAGGCCCCAGUUCCAAGUUCCCCAUCAUUUCCUUCCUAGAGAUGGAUAGCAGGAUGUCACACUGAGCCUCUAAUCGUCCCACUUCCCGCUUCUCCAAGGACACUCACCCCGUGUACACAUGCAGUGCCCAGUGCAGCAAGGCAAACGUGUCAGCAGCUCCUAGCUCGGGCCCCGCGAGGAGUUGCUGCACGCUACGGCGCAGGCCACUGUGCAGGGUGUGGGCCCAUAGCUCAACCACACGGUAGCUUGGUGGGCAGCAGGGUGCCACCAAUGCCUCCGCUGUUGCCAACUCGGCGGGCAAGGCUACCUGCAGAGCCUCAAGCCACCCCGCCAGAGCCCCUGGCUCCGGAAGCACAGGCGAUGCAAAGUGGACCCGCUCCAGGCCCUCCUGUAGCGCCCGAAGACAUCGCUGCCGCCAGUCUCGGGGUGCCUGCCCCAGGAUUGUGCGCUCAGUCUCCACCUCUGCCACACGAAUAGCAGCUACCAGCAGGGCUGGGUCCUCUCGUGCCAGCCGCCCCGCAGCUCCUGCAGCCGCCUCCACAGCUUGGCCUAGGGCCUCAGCCAGAAGGCCUAGCCCCUGGAAGAUUGGCAACUCCAGACCUCCUAGGGGUGCCAGUGUCUCCUCUUUCAGCUGCUCUAGUUCCCGCAGGCUCACAUAUGCCUCCAAGAGUCGCUCAGAGUCUAUCAGGGUCUGCGUGUGGGCCACUGUAGCCGGCACUAAGGAAGAAAGGAGACGGCUUGAGGUCUCAGCCUUCCCAUCUGGGCUAUGGGUACAGCAAGGGACACUGAGGUCUGGAGACUGGUGUGAUGUAUUAACUAUUUAAUAAUAAGCAUGGUACUGCGUCGGGUCAUCUGAACAUCCAGGCUAAGGCCUAUAGAGUUGGGCCAUAUGUUAACCCCUGAACCAACAGACCAUGAAAUCAAGCAUGCCGGGGAGGUGGGUGGCCGACUGGAGAGAUGGAUGGCUCAGUGGUUAUGAGCACUGGCUAUGAUUCCCAACACCCAUGUGGCAGCUCACAAUUGUAACUCUAGUUCCAGGCCAUCAUAGUCCUCUUCUGACCCCUGCAUGUACCAGGCACUCAAACACUCACUUACAGUAAUCUUUAAAAACAAUGUUACAGGGCUGGAGAGAUGGCCCCGUCGUUAAGAGCACUGACUGUUCUGCCAGAGGUCCUGAGUUCAAUCCCUAGCAACCACAUGAUGGCUCACAGCCAUCUGUAAUGGGAUCCGAUGCACUUUUCUAGUGUAUCUGAAGACAGCUGCAGUGUGCUCGUAUAAAUAAAAAAUAAAUAAAUCUUAAAAAAAUGUUACAGGCAGACAAAAUAAAUGGAAGGCCAUGCUGGUUGCUAUUUGCCAAUCUUGUUAUGAAAUACUUACAAACAUAACUACAUAUGUAUUGUUAUGUAUGUGUGUGUACAUUGAUGUAUAUAUGUAUGGAUGCAGGUAUGUAUUGUACUUUGUAUAUAUGUGUUAUUUGGGGUGAUGCCUGAGAUUGAAUUUAGGGCCUUGCACAUACUAAACACAUGCUCUACCAGAGCUACAGCCAACGUUCUUUCAGUAAGUAAACUACUGUGGCUAUAGCCA